GCCCGGUUAGCUCAGUUGGUUAGAGCGUCGUGCUAAUAACGUGAUGGUCGUGGGUUCGAACCCCAUCUUGGCU
rnacentral:tRNA from 1 species